rnacentral:lncRNA from 1 species
UAGCUGCUGCCAAAAGCAGUACGGGAGAUCACAUCUGCAGUCAUACUCACAAGCCAAGGCCAAACAUCCACCUCACAUGAGGACCCUUUAUCCGAGACUAACUUGUCCCAUUUGCCUACGACCUCGCUGCAGCUCUGGUGGAAAGCAGGUACCAUAUUCUAAUACAUAGAAGCAUAAGUCACUAAUAUGGUCAGGCAAAUGGUAUUUAAACUAAUCUAACCCUGUUUCAGGGUGCUAUGUAAUAGAAGUCAAAACCUUGAUCUUUUCAAGGUGGAAAGCCGGGUUGAUGAUUCUCCGGUGUUUCGCCCAUUUAUCACCAUCAUAGUUAGCGAGUCCAGUGGCUAUCAAUUUGCCUAAUGGGAAUGUAUGCGGUUUCU